GAUGAACGCUGGCGGCGUGCCUAAUACAUGCAAGUCGAACGAACAGACGCUGAGCUUGCUCCUCUGACGUUAGCGGCGGACGGGUGUGUAACACGUGGAUCACCUACCUAUCUGACUGGGAUAUCUUCGGGAAACCGGCGCUAAUCCCGGAUAAUAUCUUGCACCGCAUGGUUCAUUAGUGAAAUUCGGCUUUUCUGUCUCUUCUCGCUGGAUCCGCGCCGCAUUAGCUAGUUGUUAAGUUAACGGCUUACCAAGGCAACGAUGCGUAGCCGACCUGAGGGGGUGAUCGGCCGCACUGGAAGUGAGACAGGGUACAGAGUCCUAGGGGAGGCAGCAGUAGGGAAUCUUCAGCAAGGAGCGAAAGCCUGACGGAGCAACGCCGCGGGAGUGAGGAAGGUCGUCGGAUCGGAAAACUCUGUUAUUAGGGAAGAACAAAUGUGUAAGUAACAAGGAACGUCUGGACGGUAAAUAAGCAGAAAGGCACGGCUAACUUCGUG
rnacentral:rRNA from 1 species